rnacentral:tRNA from 1 species
UGUGACUUAGUGGUAGAGUGCUCACCUAGCAUGUGUGAGGCCCUGGGUUUGAUCCUCAGCA